rnacentral:ncRNA from 2 species
AGUGUUAGUCGUGCUGGUGGUUCGCGAGGUACUCAGGUGCCUUGCGAGACAACAGGGAACCCGGUGUAACUCCGGGACUGCCCCGCAGCGGUGAGUGGGAACGACCACCGUUCCGUGCCCUUCCGGCCUCGACGAAACGAGGCUCCCCGGGUGGCGGUCACGGCACUGGACGCGCACAACGGCGUCUGGGAAGCCACGGUCAGUAGGUGCGUCGGCGUGUUGCCGGCGUGUGCCCACGAGUCCGAAGACCUGCCACCGGUGCGCGCGCCGG